rnacentral:lncRNA from 1 species
GCAAUGGUGUUCAAAACAAAGCCUUUCCCUCCCCCCCAUGGGCGUGCGGUGUUGCCAGGGUAACACAGCGGUAGGGGAACUCCUUGAUGAUGUCACCAGGACGCGACAGACGCCUUUCCUUUUUAUCAACUAUGGCUGAAGUGGGGGAGUCUUCCCGGGAAGAUGCAGUUCUUCCUCCCGUUGUAUCUUCCCCGUCGUCUACCGAGGAGUCCUCUGUCGUUGCUCCAGUAGUAGUCGAAGAGCAGGAAAAAGAGCCAGAACUGAAGGAGGAGGUACAGGCUAUCGAGAUAAAAAACAAUGAACCUUCUGAGCUCAUCCUUGGUGAAAUGGAAGAGUCUACAUCACAGUCUUGUGCAGCCAAAAAAAUAAAAAUAGAGAUAAAGGAGAAAAAAGAAAAAAAGCAUAAAGUAGAUGAAGAUGAAAUACAAAAAAUGCAGUGAGUAGUUUUCAAUUUACAUAGCAUGUAGCUUGUGUUGAAAUGUUAAACUAUUAUGUAAAACUCUAAGCUUAAUACUGUAUAUUUAAGAAGCCAGACAGUUUUUUUCUGCCUGUUCUGAUUCAGUAGGAGCAGAAGAGAGGAUGUUUGAUUUUUAAAAAUCAUUGAGUUUUAUCCACCUUAUUCUGAAUGGAACAUGGCUGACAGGAUACUUGUGCUGAUGAAACCUCUGUGAUCUCACCCUGAAACAUUACCUUAGAAGUUCCUUUGUGCCAUAUAUAGGCUUUCUUAGGGUACUGCUGCCAUCAGGGUCUUUGUUAGAUAAAUUGUUGCUAUUGUGUUUGUCUUGAAUUUUUUCAGCCUAUGACACCAGAUUUGGUGGACAAAGCGCUUGAUCGCUGCCAGGCCACCACUUCCUCUCUUGACCCUUGCCUGGCCUGGCUAAUCAGAGUAGCCAGGCCUGUAACAAUGGAAUGGGCUACUGCGAUAAUUAAUGGGUCUCUCCAGGAGGACCUCUUGCCCUCAAGGAGACAUUCAUUAGGCUCAUAAGAAAGAAACCUAAUUUGGCAAUUAUAGGCCUGUCGCCAGUGUUUCUUUCCUUAGUAAAGUGGUCGAGAGGGUGGUGGCUGAUCAUCUUCAGGAUCUUUUGGAUGAAACCAAUGCCCUGGAUCCAUUCCAGUCGGGCUUCAGGCUGUGCCACGGCACAGAAACGGCACUGGUUGCACUGUUGGAUGACCUGUUGAGGGAGGCUGACAAGGCAAAAUGUCCUUGUUGGUCCUCCUCGAUAUCUCUGCCGCCUUCGAUACCAUCAACCAUGGUAUCCUCCUGGGGAGGCUCUCCGAGUUGGGAAUCGGUGGCCUGGCACUUGCCUGGCUCCAAUCCAAUUUUUUUCCCCCAAGAUGGCGCCGGUGGCAGUUGGCUGGCACUUUUCUCCACUGCACCGGCUUCCCUCUUGGGCCCCUUUUACUAUUUUUGCUCUUCUUCUCUUCCUUUUUUCCUUUUCU